rnacentral:rRNA from 1 species
UACAGAGGGGGCAAGCGUUAUUCGGAAUUAUUGGGCGUAAAGGGCGCGUAGGCGGCUUUUCAAGUGACGGGUGAAAUCCCUCGGCUUAACCGAGGAACUGCCUGUCAGACUGGAAGGCUUGAGACCGGGAGAGGUGAGUGGAAUUCCCAGUGUAGCGGUGAAAUGCGUAGAUAUCCGGAGGAACACCGGUGGCGAAGGCGGCUUCCUGGACCGACACUGACGCUGAGGCGCGAAAGCUAGGGGAGCAAACGGG